AGUGAACGCUGGCGGUAGGCCUAACACAUGCAAGUCGAACGGCAGCACAGUAAGAGCUUGCUCUUACGGGUGGCGAGUGGCGGACGGGUGAGGAAUACAUCGGAAUCUACUUUUUCGUGGGGGAUAACGUAGGGAAACUUACGCUAAUACCGCAUACGACCUACGGGUGAAAGCAGGGGAUCUUCGGACCUUGCGCGAUUGAAUGAGCCGAUGUCGGAUUAGCUAGUUGGCGGGGUAAAGGCCCACCAAGGCGACGAUCCGUAGCUGGUCUGAGAGGCUGAUCGGCCACACUGGAGCUGGGACACGGUCCAGAGUCCUGCGGGAGGCAGCAGUGGGGAAUAUUGGACAAUGGGCGCAAGCCUGAUCCAGCCAUACCGCGUGGGUGAAGAAGGCCUUCGGGUUGUAAAGCCCUUUUGUUGGGAAAGAAAAGCAGCAGGUUAAUACCCCGCUGUUCUGACGGUACCCAAAGAAUAAGCACCGGCUAACUUCGUG
rnacentral:rRNA from 1 species